GUCCUGGCCCUAAACGGUGCACGUUUGCUGUAAGAGGAAUCGACCCCUUUUGUGGCGAAGCUAACGCGUUAAACGUGCCGCCUGGGAAGUACGGCCGCAAGGUUAAAACUCAAAGAAAUUGACGGGGGCCUGCACAAGCGGUGGAGUAUGUGGCUUAAUUCGAUGCAACGCGAAGAACCUUACCUGGCCUUGACAUGCACAUAGUAGAAGGGUGAAAGCCUGACGAGGUAGCAAUACCAGUGUGCACAGGUGCUGCAUGGCUGUAGU
rnacentral:rRNA from 1 species